CUUAAUUUCCUAUACUUAACCCAUCUGCAAAAUCCUCAAAUCUUUUGGCUUCCAUUUUUACUAGAUUAUGGUCAAAACUCAAUUUAACACUACGCAUAAUGUUAGUGACAAACCAACAUUUCAAUCCAAACUCAAGUUAAAGUUAACUGAGAGAUGACAAUAACAUCAAGACAUAUAUGCCAUAUGCAUUUGAAUUACAGGAAAUGUCCUCUACAAGAAUACAAAAAGGAAAACUAUCCAGAGGACCCACUUUAAAAAGAUGGUCUAUAUAGCGAGAGCAUUACCUUGAGGAGUACUUUUCUUUCCGAUGUACUUUAACGAAGAUUUUCAAGUCGAUUAGCCUUCAGAACUGUUGAAGCACCUACUUGAAGCUCAAAACAAUAUCCUUGUCCAUCUGCAUAAAAGAAUGUGAAGGAAAUUAAUCAUAUGACGACUACCAGUCACAGUAACUUACAGGUUUCGCCAACUCUUUGGCCUUCUCAUCGUCAAAACCAAGUGCAGCUAAUAUCUUAUGUCCCGCUGCUUCCUUUUCUGACCAAAUGUUAGUAGUAUAUGUGCCGUCGUUACUUCCCCACUUUCACCUGCUUUUAAAUUCUAUUCAGUCAAAUAAUAUUGUAACAGCUAAAAUGUAGCAUAAUUAUGUCACGGAGAACAAAAACUACGGUUAUAAUUUUUCAUGAUAGCAACUCACUUUGCAUCUAUAAUAUCAAAACUGUAAUUCAAGUUCCGCCAAUUUUGACGUUCAACUGUGAAUCCACUAAAGAGUAAUGUCGGUCUUAAGAUCGAUAAUACACAAAGUAAAUUUGUUAAAGACUGUAAAAAUCGCAGAAACUAAUAACAUCAAGAAUUUUUAUCCCUUAGGGCCCGGAUGUUCAGCCGAAGCCUACUCACCCAUUGAGCAUUUAGAAAGUAGCUUUGACUCAAAAAUCCACUAAAAAUCACAAAAAAUCGAUACAAAAUGUAUGAAGAAUGUUUUCUUUCGCCUCCAUUUACAAGAAAUUGCUCUCCUCACAAUCUCUCAUACUGUAUACAAAAUACAACUCAAUCAUCACUAAGAAAUUUACAGAGAUUGAACUCAGAAAAAUCACGAAGCAGUAAGGACAAUCAAGAAAGAAGACGAAAAGAAAAUUCUAG
rnacentral:lncRNA from 1 species